UGCUGUAAGGCAAGGAGUGCAGUGAUUUCUCAAGGCCUUUCCUCAUCUCUCCUUCCUUCUGAGAUUUCUGAGUUUCCUUUGUGUACUAUUUCUAGUCCACAUUUCAAAUUAUUCUGCAGUUUCAACCAGACUACAUAAGGGGACAAAGGAAAAAGCUGCUGUCCCCUUAAUAAGGCUGCUUUAACACAUCAGCCUUGGAAGCUCCAGCAUUUCUCUCCAUCCCAAGAAUGUGUUUAUGCUUUGACAGAGGAGCAGAGUAAUUUCCAUCUGAUCAGAGAAAAGGUGACUUGUGUAUUCCAGACCAUGUGUUCUACUUUGCAGUCCAGCUUCUCACUCUUUUUCAUGCUGAUGCAAGUAGUUCUAUGAACAUUGGGGUGCUUUAGAAAUACUGACUGAAUGAAUUAAUAGAGUACGUAAAUAGUUUUUUUCUGCCUUGGGCUCUCUCCAUUUAUUUGCACAGUACUAUCUAAAUUCUUAAAAUAAUUGUAAACUUAAAGUUGUACAAAAGUAGUUUUCAAACUGGUUUAGCCAACUAUGCUGGUAUUUGGUAAUUCCAUUAGGGAAUAGCCACAUCCCUUCUAGGGAGUAUCUCCUGAGGUCACUGAUCCUUUUAUUCAUCAUCCAGGAGAUAAACAUGAGAAUAAAAGCCUUAUAACCAGCCAGAGACCCAGAUUUCUGCCCUCCAGAAGGCUAGAGCAAGUUCUCCCAUUGCUGUGAAGAGAUUUAUGAUAGUCAUGAAGUUGACCUAUACAUGCUUCUGGGUACUGAUGCUGCAAAGACUGAAAACAGUUACAUUCCUACAAUUUCAGAGUUGAUUUAUGUGAUAGGGUCAAAAUGAAGUGCUCCAGAGAGACAUCAACAACAUUCUUAUACUGAAAUAUAUGUUCAGUGUGUAUAGAUUUUCUGAGCUCAUUACCCAGAAGAUUUUAAUUUCCUGCUGAAAAGAGUAUCUUGAUUAAAGACACACAUAGACACACACACACACACACGCCUAUACACACUGCCUACAAACAGGCUUUCCUCACUGAUGUGGGACAAUUCUGACAAAGUUUUUUUAAGUCUCCCUUUACAUGGCACAGAUUGUUCCAACUUAUCACAAAUAUACCAGCUGGACAAAAAUCAGGAAUAGUUGACAUAGAUAGUACAGAACGCAGGCAAGAUAAACAGAGCCACACAGAAAGCUCUUCAGUAACAGUUUAAUUUUAUGCAACUAAGACUGUGCCCUUAGAUGUAGAGCCCAAUGUGAGGGAUCAGUUUCUUAUGAUAGAGUAAUAUUUAUAACAUCUAACUUUUCUACCUUAUGGCAGAAUGCCCUGUGAAUCCUUGAAACUCAAGGCCCUCUUUGUCAGAGUUUUGGUUCUUACUGCAAAGUAUGUUCUUUCCUUAUGUCAUCCAAACAAAGUAACUAGAGUAGUAAAAAGAAAGUCAGUGAGUUUGGAUGCAUUGGCUUUCUGGACUUGCAAAUUAUCCAGUGCAGGCAUUUCUCACACAGCAGGCUUGGAGGACUCUGGGGGUGGCCACCUUUGCUAGAUAUGCUGUUAACCUCCUUCAUAUGGUUGGGUCAGUGAUCUUGUAAAGUUCUGCUUGGCAGGCUCAUAGGUGUUGAUAGGUGCCCUAAACUGAUGGACCAGUAGAGUGUGGCCACCAUCUGUGAGGUUAUUUCUUCAGGCCCUCAAUAAGCACUUACCCAAAUGCACUGAUUUUACAGUGCUGUGGUUCUGUACUGGAUUCCAUGAAGCACCCUUCCCGUCUCUGAUUUUCCAGGAUCAUUUUCCUUAAGUUAAUGCCAUUCCUGUAAAUGCAUUUCUACUCUUUGAUCCCUUUUCUUUAGUUUACACUUUCAGUUAAAUCUGUAACCAAGAUAAUCUUUGAAAAUUAUUUUAAUUAAUGUUUAUAUUUAGCUCUAUAGUCUAUGUAAGGAGAUCCAGGGUUACAAGAGUCUGCUUGAAAAAAUAGAGCCACAACAGAUCAAAUUUUCUUAGCAGAGGAUUGUAUUUUUUGAAAUGUUAAAAAUUCUCCUAUAAUUAAAUAUUUAAACCUUAUUUCAUCAUUUUUCUAAGCGUUUUUACUUUAGGGUUUACUAAAGGAAUCCAAAUCAAUUUCAUAAACUUCUCUGUAUAGGAUUUCAAAUAGAACAUUUUUAUGGAAAUAGGGUGAAUGUGUUAUAGAGGAAGAAAUGCUUCUGCCUCUCUGCCUACUUCCCUAUUGACCCUCUCUCUCGUUCUCCCACAUCCUUUAGGGAAGAAUGGCUUGCCAUUCUGUUUGGUCAGUUAAAGUAUUGGUUGGCCAUGUUUAUCGAUGGCCAGAUCAACCAUAAAAAGACCAUGCCCAUGGAUGGUGCUCCUUUUGCAUUUCUUGCUUCCACUCCAUGGGUUGGAAUAGAGAUAGUCCAGAUUUUGAGGAGAAGCUGAGAUGUGUGGGGAAGAGGGGCAGGUAGGGAGGGAGUGUCUUUCUUAGGCCUUAAGAAUGAACCAUGUGCUCUUACCUGACCUUACCAAGCUCUGAAAGAUAAUUGUCGUUUUGGUUCCCAGUUGCUAUCAGUCUUGCUAUGUGUAGCUCUUCUGGAAAUGUCAGCAUCAGGAGUGAAUGGCAGGAUAAGAUUUGGGCAUUUGUGAAGUUCUCUAGUCAGGUUCCAUUAAUGCAAUCACAAUUCCAGCCUCUGUCCUUUAUCAGUCGUCUUAGCAGAUCUGUCUUAUUUUUCAGUGAUAAACGUAGAGAGCUACGGGCAAAAACAUCAAAGGUAUCAUUCAUAUCUUUCAAUUCUCAAGUAGGCCUCGAGUAAGAGAAGAAGGCUUUGAAAUCAGUUACUCUGACUCCCAAAGAAGACCUGCUUGAGACUUCUAACCCUCCAUUCUAAAUGAGCAAAAGUUUCAUCUCCCUGAAAGCAGAGGGAAGACAUUGCUGGGUCAGUUUCAAAGGCUCAUUGGUUACCUUCCUGCCACAAUAAACCAUUGAGAGUCUCUGCUCCCAGUUCCUGGCAUGGUGGAAAUUAACCUUAUGCUCACCUUCAUCUAUAUACUUCUGAGUGAGAACUUGAACUUCAUCAUCCCCCUCUAGCUCCCCAGGAAAGUGAAGAGGUAUGGAAUAUGCCCUCAGUAGCCUGGCUUGAUUCUAUCUUUUGGCUGUUUGCUGCAUUUGUAGAAGGAAAAGAACAAUAGAAAACAUUGCUUCUCUCUUUGCAGACUAAGCAUUUACAGUGGAACAUAGCUAAGUAGGAAACCAAGAAAAAGAGAGGAUGAGAUGUUAACUCACGAAUCGAGUUACUCUUGUGUGCUCCAGUAACAGAUGUCCAAGCGUCUUCAGGCCUACCUUUGUGCCUCCUUUUUUAAACAUAUUUGAUCAUCUGCAAGUUGUACUGAUUUACAUCAUAUGAAACCCAUGAGAUGUGCUUGAGGCAGGGGAAUGAAGGAAUUAAAGGCUUUUUCCGUAUGUUAUUUUCACCCUGAAGUAGUUAACCUAUCCCAGUGUGUAUCAAAAGCAGAAGAAACUGAUUCUGCAAUGCCAAGUUGUUUCUGCCUUGGACCAUUUACCAUACCUGAAUCUUAUGUGUCUUUUUUUUUUUUGCUGAACCUCAUCCACAAAAUUUGUUGUAGGCAGUUCAAAAAAAAUUAUUUAAAUUAAAUUAGUGAUAGUUAGCUUUAAAAAACAUGCAACAUUUCAGUUCCCUGCAAGGGGCUCUGAAAUGUCCCGUGAUAUGUUUCAGAGCCAUUAAGCUUGUUUGCCUCUUUCUGCUUCUCCUUCCUGACCACUGUUGUGGGGGCAGAGAGCCAGAUGUCAGGAGGUUCCUUUCCCAAACCAAUUAGCAUGUCCUCAUAUUUUGCCCUCUUCAGCCACAGCUUGUUCUCGGCUCUCUCCCUGCAUGAAUCAACAGCAGACCCAGGACAGGCAGAGACCAUCAGGAACUUAACCUUCACACAGAGAGAGACUCCAGAUCUCAGAGAGCAGUGCCCAAGAUUCCAAGACAGAACCCUGGGAUUUUCUACUGUUGUCACUCUGUUGCCCACGCUAGAGUGCAGUGGCGUGAUCUUGGCUCACUGCAGCUUCUGCCUCCCAGGUUCAAGUGAUUCUCCUGACUCAGCCUCCCAAGUAGUUGGGAUUACAGGUGUGUGCCACUGUGCCCAGCUAAUUUUUGUAUUUUUAGUAGAGACAGGUUUCACCAUGUUCGCUAGGCUGGGUUUGAACUCCUGACCUCAGGUGAUCUGUCUGCCUUGGCCUCCCAAAGCGCUGGGAUUACAGGUGUGAGCCACUGUGCAUAGCUAGCUUAAUCAUUCUUUAUAUUAAGCUUCCCUUAUUUAAAUCACUGUUUGGUUCCUGUCUCCUGAUUGGACCCCAGUUGAUGCACUCACUAAAUGUUGGUGUGAAGUCACAGACAAGGUAGAGUUUCCUAUGGGCAGGUUCUUUAUCAUAUAUCUCACAUCACUACAAGCACCUGCCUAUUUUAAUGCCUGACACAUAGAAAGUCUUGAAUAAGUUCUGAUUAAUUGAGCACAAUUUAAGUUAAUUUUAACACCCCUAUUUGUUGAGAUGUAAUAACAGCCUACUGAGAGGUCCAGCAUGCUGAGAGGAAAGAGUCAAAAAUUUGUUCAUGUAUGUGAUCAUUUAUUUGUUCAGUAAUGUUGAUCAAUAAUGUUGACUGGGAUAAGCAGCACUGGCUCCAACUGCAGGUCAAACAGCAGAAUUGGCCCCAACUGGGAGGCAGAGUGAAUGAUUGCUGUUAGAGGACAAGCAAAGGGAACAUUCAGAAGGAAAGAAUGAAAACAACACAGACCCAGAAAGAACCAGGGAAAUACAAAGUGCUGUAACCACUUCUGAGGCUCAGAGGGGACAAAUGACCUGUCCCAUGUCAUGUAGCCCUCUUCUUGGCAGAGCCAAGAGUAGAGAGCAGAUUCUAUAAUCCUCAGUCUAAACUCUUGACAUUACAUAUUGCAUUGCUUCUGCAAGUGGGGCGGGAAGGGGUGGUAAUGCAAACUGCCAUUUCGGGAAGUGGUUAAAAAAAUACCUUAAAAUGUGAUUAUCCUUUACCUAGUAGUUCUAAAGAAGUCCAUGUUUGGGAUCCAAGAAAUUCCCCUGCCAGUGCUAUUACCUUUUGGAAAACAACUAGCAGUCUGUCAAAUAUGCUAGAUUUGGGGUUUGACGCCCCUCAAGGUAAUCAGUGACCUGUUAAACCACAGUAUCUCAAGCCUUGUAGGCAAAGCAAAAUGUUACCUGUCCUACCCCCGCUCAAAGUAUCCAUCAUUUCUCUGAUGUAGUCUCACACCCAUAUGUAAAGCCUCUCUAGCACUCCUUUCCAAAAUCUGUAGCUUAAUUAUGCUAAUGAUCUUCAUUUAUCAUGUUGGUUUACUUAUCAGGACAUUUUCCUAUUUCUGGUCAGAUGUUUUUCCAGGGAGCCAAGGCAUGGAAUCCUUCAUUAAGUGGGGAAGAACCAACAGAAUUUGUUCCACAUAUUCCUCUGACACAUCCCCAAAAGCAUGACUUCUAGCCUGAAUCCUACAAUGAAUGUAUGGGCGUAUGUGACACACUGUAAUUUUUCAUCAACAGAUGGGUCACAUAUGAGCCAAAGAUGAAUGUAGAUGUAGCAAGGUCUGUAUGAACUAAGCCAAACCAUGUUUAGAAUGUCUUUGUUGGCUGUCAUUGGGAAGUAGUGCGUGCUGAUUAACUGAUUUGAGAUGCGCAUACGCCUCUGUGCUGGAAAGCAAGAGACACGUGGGUCCAGAGAAAAUGGACCGGCCUGUAAAGUGUCUUAGCAGAGGCCAGAUGCUCUGCAAGGAGUUCCUGUGAAAUGAGAGCUAUACUUUUCAGACCACCUCUAGCUGAAUAUAUCUAAUUGGGAGUUGCAGGUACAUGGGAAAUAAAAUUUCCCUCACUGGGGAAUUUGCUGCAGUGAGGAUGGCUCUAUUAAAUCAGUGAGGAAGCAAACUUCCAAGACUUGGAAAUACUUACUUAGGCUAUACACUUUGUAGGCUGGGCUUGCUCUAAGAGCCAGUCCUGAGAUGCUUUCUGGCCUGAUGGUUUUCAACAAAGCCACUAUUUUUCUUUCUCUCUUCUUCCCUGUGUCUCUCAUUCCUUGCACAUAUACUGUUCUAGAGAUCUAAGGUUUUCUCCAGGAAUACUCUUCUUUUACUUUUGUUUUAUUCAUUUAAGAGACACUGCUAAACUCUGGGAAUACAGCAGCCCUCCGUGCAACUUCUUUUUGUUCGUUUUUAAAUUGGGCAACACCUAAUUCCAUAAAAUAGAAUGAGUGUUUCUGAGACUUCUAUUUUAGUCAAAAUCUUGCCAUCCUCUCUUAAUAACCAAUAUAGGAUUCUGUUACAGAGAGAUUCAGAAUAGUAGACUUCUGGACCUUGGAUGUCAUUGAGUUUAAGAGAAAGGCAGUCCCAGGACUCUGGUCUAGCAGCUGAGUAAGGCUCAGGCCUUAGAAUGGCUUAGCUUGCUCCAUUGCAAUGCAUCAUCCUGGAUGUUAAAAUCCAGCUGUCUCUCUGAAAACUAAAUAUGAAAGACUGAGAUUUAGUCAACUUUGCUGAGAUUUAAUUUACAUAUAAUAAAAUGAAUCAUUUUAACCGUGCAGUUCAGUAAGUUUUGAAAAAUGUAUAUACAGAUUCAUGUAACUACCACCAAAAUUGAGAAAGGACACUUCCACCAUCUCAAAAGAUUCUGUGUGUUCCUUUGUAGUAAGUCUCUUCUACCCCAUCCCUAGACAACAGCUGAUGUGCUGUCAUUGUACACAUAUAUUAGCUUUGACUGUCCUAGAACUUCAUGUUAAUGGGAAGCAUCCUGUAUGUACUGUUUUGUGUCUGGCUUCUUCAGUGUAUUUUUGAAAUUUAUCCACGUUGUUGUGUGUACCCAAGGUGUGUUCUUUUUCAUUGCCAAAUAAUGUUCUGCUAUAUGAAUAUACUACAAAAUAUUUGUCUGUUUAUCUGUUGGUGGAUUUUUGGAUUCGUUCCAGUUUGGGGCUAUUAUGAAUAAAGCUUCUAUGAAAAUUCA